AGAGAGAGAGAGAGAGAGAGAGAGAGAGAGAGAGAGAGAACUGACUCCCUGGGAGGCUGUCAGGAUGAAGGAAAGAGUCUACAGUUGUACCUGAGUGUGGUAAAUCCUCAAAAGCCCUCCUCCCUUUCUCGGGUUUUCAUCUAGCUUUGUGUCCCAUGGUUACGGAAUGUUUAUAGGGACUUUGGAUGUCUUUAGGUUUGUGUGUGUGUGUGUGUGUGUGUGUGUGUGUGAGAGAGAGAGAGAGACAGAGAGAGACAGAGAGAGACAGAGAGAGAGAGAGAGAGAGAGAGAGAGACAGAGAGAGCUUUAUGGAAUUGCUUCUUUCCUCCCACCAAGGUUCUUGGGAUGAAGCUGAAGCUCAGGCCAUGGAGCGGUUAGCCAUCUCAGCAGACCAAAUUUGAAUCAUACCCCAGCCCCUCACCCUCACACCCCCCCCCCAGAUCUAACAGCAGAUUCUAACAGCAAAACUCUUACAGUCUGAAAGUGAAACCUUAUAAAAUGUCGAUAAUACAAGUUUUUAAACCUAAAGCUUUCAGGAAGUCUUUCCGAAGGUGCAGAUCAGCAUAGUUUGUUUUCUUAACAAGGUCAGAGAGAAGUCAUUGAAGAGUCAGGGCACCUGGAGAUGGCCUUCUUUCCCUAAAGCUAAAUCUUGCUUAGAAGCAAGGCCCUGGGCAGCAUUAACUAGGAUAAUUAAAGGCAUAACAGCAAAACUUGGUAACAGUGCUAACUUUAAAGCUGCCUGUGGGGCCUCAAAGAUAGGAUAAUAGAUUUGUAAGCCACAUUGCAAACAAUGUGGCUGGCUUAUUGUGUUCACAUUAUACCUAUUAUUAACGACAGAAAACCCGGAUUUGGGUUGGGAAUCCUGCUAUGUUCUCAAGCUCUGCUUUCCUAAGAAAUGAAGAUUUAUUGUCAUCUCCAGCCCAGUCUCUGGGUAGACCAAACACAGGAAAAAGCCAGGAAGGCUGGCAGGGUACUAUUAAACUGAAAGAAAGCUAUCCCAAUGCUUGGUGUAUUUCAAACUUCAUUAUUUUCCUAAAAGAAAAAAAAAAAGUUCUCCUGGAACCCUCACUCCCAAUAGGGACUUAAAGAGCAUUCAUUGAAAUGUUCCUUAAAUAUAUACAAAUACAUAAUUAAGUAUAAAUGCUUUCUAGUAAUAGUUGAUUAAAAACUAAACACAAAGGGAAAAAAUUCCUAGGGAUCUGUUGCCUACCACUACAGACAUUCUUAAUAAUACUGAGUUGGUCAAGAUGGUAACUUUUCUGUCUUUGUGUAUGUAUGGGCUCAGGUAGGUAUGUGUGUUGUGUGUGUGUGCCCACGUGUGUUUGGAAGCUAGUGUUUCACACCUUCUUAGAUCACUUCCACUUUAUUUACUAAUGCAGGGUCUCUCUGCUGAACCUGAUACUCAUCAAUUUGCACUGGGCAUCUCCUGUCUUCACCUCCUGAGCUCUGGGGUUACAGGUGCUGCUACUUCCUCGCAUCGCACUGAUGAGGAGUCUGAAGCACAGAGAGGCUGUGAUUGGCCCGACAGAACCUGUUCGCUGUCCAGAGAAGACUGCAGAACAUACCGAAAUGGUAACAGCAGUCCCGGACGACGGCCUACGGAGGAUUCUUGGAUCCUCCUGUUGAGCUUUCAGUGUUUGCCCAAACAUUCGCCAUAGGAUAUUGGCUUAUAAUUAGGGGGGAAAAAGCUGCUGUUUUAAAAGAAAUAAUUUCUUGUAAAAGGAUAUGUAAAAUGUGCCCAUUGUUCAAAGCUAUACUGAAUUGUUCAAACUACUAGUGACGCUGUUAUCUCUCGGCAGUAAUAUUAUUGUGAUAUUCACUUAAGCGUUCUUGCUUCUUUGUAAUCCACUAAGUUUGUAUGAUUAAGUCUUUAAUUCAGGCAACAGUGACCCUCUGCUUUGUUGUACUCUUAUAAGGGAAAUAUUUAAAAGACUUGGACCUCAUACAAAAAUCUACACGGCCGACCUUUUAGAAGGUUCUACCCAGCCACCCCGCUGACUAGAUUCUGAAGUUACCUUCUUACUCACAGCACUCUGGCCCCUGGAUUCCCCUGCCUUCCCUCAAACAUGCCAGACUGAUGGCUCUCACAGACCUUUACAGGACCUGAUCCUCUGCCCAAGGGGAGGACUCUCUUCAGACUCUCUGCAACCUCACAGACACCAUCUCCUGUACCCUGAUUUUCUUCACAGCAGCCAUCAGCAUCUGGGGCAGCUCUGCCUGCCAAGAGUGGCUCACUUUCCUGAACAUGUGGUAUGACUACACUUUCUGGCCCUCUGUAGCUGGCUGUAACCCUAUGGCUUCUUUUGGCCCUGAAAAUGAGAGACAUGCCAUGUAUCAGUUAUAAGCUUUGAGAAUCCGUGUAUCAUUUGAUAUUCUCCCUAAGACUAGCCUUACCCCCUGGUGGUUCUCUGGAUGGCCUGGGUGCCAUGUGGAAGUGACCCAGAGGAAAGUCCCUCCUUCUGACCUUCAGUGACCACUCUUUGAUGAGGACUAAAACUUUUUUUUGCUUCAACCUCUGAGAUACAAGCGUGUUUACUGCCACCAACCAGUGUAAUGUACCCUGACUAACAUAUUUAUCUGUUUUCUGUCUCUCCUCUUUAAAUUUUUAUCUAUAUAAAUAUAGGACUCAGCCGGGCGUUGGUGGCGCACGCCUUUAAUCCCAGCACUCGGGAGGCAGAGGCAGGCGAAUUUCUGAGUUCAAGGCCAGCCUGGUCUACAGAGUGAGUUCCAGAACUGCCAGGGCUACACAGAGAAACCCUGUCUCGAAAAACCAAAAACCAAAACCAAAAAAUAAAUAUAGGACUCUGUUCCCUGCUGCAUCCCCAGUGUCUAGAAUAGUGGACACAGGUUCUAUUCUCAGCAUUAGCUGGACAGCUGCAUGAACCAUGGCUUGAUCACACUGUGUGAGACAGGAGAUUUAACAAUGGCAGGUAAAUCUAACCCUGUAAAGAUUAAUUCUACAGAAAUGUCCAUUCAAGCUAAUGGAAACCCAUUUCAAGAUCCCAGGGUCUAAAAGGAGAACUCACCUUCAAGUAACAGAAUAUAAAGUGGCCCAAACUGUAAGGAUAAAUGGAGAUCUAGCACGAAGCUGGGGGUGUGGGGGCAGGUGUCGGUGACAAUCUAACUAACAAGGAUUAGCAGUGUUUGUGUCAAAGCUGAAUGCUGCUGUGGUUCCCUUUCCCGGUGUGGACAUUAGCAUUCGAAAUGAAUGGAGCUUCACAGAGCCAGGAUUUUCUCUGCCCUUAUCAUAAACUGGCCUGUGAGCCCCUCCGAGGACUCCCCCUAAAGCUGUGUGGGCUUUUGUGAGCUGCUGCCCUUUCAUGGGCUUCCUCCUCAUGUGCCUGCAUUGGGACAGGGAUAAUGCAUUUCCUGUAUCAUGUGGCACAGCACAAGGAAACUCUUUGUGUCCCUACAGAGGAAGAGUCCAUCUGUAAGUAGUUUUUAAGAGUGUACUGAAGGGUCUUGUUAGGGUGACUUACUCUCCCAGUUAGAUUUGGGUGAUGGAGUGGACCACGUGACAGACAUGCAUAAUGAGCUGCUUCAGCUGCUGCCAGUGGGAAGCAGGGACUGUGGAGUGAGAGUCUCACAGUCAUUGAGAGCAGGACCAGUCAGGAGAGGUGAGCCUCCUUCUGAGUUGCCUUUUCCCACUGCCACAAUGUUCCAGUGUUAUGAGGCUUCUGCGUUUACUGGUUUCUCACAAAGCAACUGCCUUUCCAGUUAGUUCCUAAUUCAAACUGGAAAUGCAUGAUUUCUGUGCAGUUCCCUAAAGAGCAAGCAUUAGCAAGAUGGGUCGGCAAUCAUUCACGAAAUGCAUUUGGAAGGAGUCUUUCCAUGUUUUGUCAUGAAAACAGGAAAUGCAUCUUAUCCCAGAAUGAGAAGGCUGGAUCUGGGUUUGCCUUUUCCAAACUAUCUCUUUUCCUCCUCCUUGUAUUUUCUUUUCUCUAUUCCAAUGAUUCCCUUCCCUCUCCUUAUACACUAGUAAUUAAUCUCCUAAUGACUAUGACAAGGCACAUCACUGGUUGCACACUUUCUGUGGGUGGUACACAACAGUGACUUACAAACUUCAAACCACCGGCUCACAACUCUAUUACUGAAGUGGCCCACCUUGAAGUUAACUUUGGAUGCGUCUGGUGGUGCUGAGGAAAUGGGCGAGGGGGCGGCUAACGCAGCCAUUCUGCUCUGACCUGACCUUUGAUGUGACAAGUUCAUGGAUCAAUGAUACAUCUGAUAGCAAAUCCAAAUCCACUACAGCUGCUGAGAUGGCUCAGAGAGGACUGUCAGGAAAAGGACUGACUGGGUAGGAGGCAGGAACUGAGUUGGACCUUCAGGCACAGGUAUGUUUUAGGUGUUGAAAGCGCAAAAUACUCUAUUAGAGAUCAGAAAAGUGUGACAUUUUGACUGACUUCAGCUUUUUUUGUGACACCCAUCUUCAUAGCCUCAGUUUUUCAACUAACUACACAUGUCAGCUACAUAAGUCAUCUAAGGAAGGUUUUUAAAUAGUCAUCAAAUGUUUGUAAUUGGCAAUUAAUCACAGCAAAGAUUACCAAGACUCCACAGCUGUGAGCUUUAUGCUGGCUAUAAAGAUGGGGGAAUUAUUUGUCCAGUGUACCAAUGAGUGUCGCAGAUCAGUGCUGCAGAAUGGGAGGAAAACAGAAAAUAGGCUCUGAGAAAGGACAGCACAGGCUUCCAGUAGCUUUGGAGGCCUCCUUUGGACACUUUAAAGUAUGUCACUUUCACAUUGGUGGCUUUAGAGACUUUUUCUUUAUGGACAGAAAGCUGUCACUCUACAAAAAGUCCCCAGUUCCUCAGCUACUUCCUUCUGACCGGCUCUGGCUGACAACUCUGGCUCUUUUCUGCAGAGGAAUGGCAAAGCCUGGCUGCAUCUGUUAGUUUUCACAGAGAGGAAUGGCUUAUUCUUACGGUCAACAGGGGCAGAGGUGAAGAGUUCAAGGCCAAGUGCUGAUUUCCUGACCCUUUCUGAAAAGCGAGACACACUCUAAUUUAUGCCUAAUUGGGACCAGCCUCAAGAUACACCAUAGAACCACUUACUCUCAAAAAACCAUUUUAGAUUUGAUGCAGUUUCAAUACCAGAACAGCUCUUACCUAAAGCUUAUUGCCAGCAACAAAUAUCUCCUAAUUUUAUUUCAUGUAUCUCAAUAAUACUAUUUCUGGGAACAUAUUAAUCCCUUUGAUUGUGAGUGGUGGAAGAAACAAUAUUCAACAGCGCUUAUGGAAAAAAACCCUUUCUGACCAUUUUCCCUAUUGUGAGUUCUAUAAAUACUUGAGUGUGGGAACACAGACACAUGGUUUGCACGUGUGCAUAAAAUGCAUCCGUGUACCUCACUUAGUCACUGAAAAGUAUUGUGCCAGAACAAAUAUAUGUUUGCUUAAGUCUUGGCUGUGGUCCUUCAGGGAAAGGAUCUAACAGGUAUUAUGUUUGCUGGGGGCCCAAAACCUAACCUGAGACUAAGCUACUGAUUCUUCUGUGAGAGAUUGUUCCCCAGUGUUUUCAUUCCCACACUGCGCUUCCCUACUCCCUACAGGGGCUGAGAUCACCACACUCUGCUCCAGAGGAAGAACUCUUGAGUGACUGUCUCAGGAAAAUCAGCAUGCAAAAGGCAACUGGCCCAGCAGCCAAGGACUCUGGCUGGCUACAAUGGGGGAAUGCUAAAGCCACAGCGGACUGAAAGGCAUCUGUGUUCCCUGUGUUAAAUGUCUAUUGUUUCCAUUGUAGCAGUAACGAAAUCCAGCAAAGUGAAUUCAUGAUUUUACUUUUAGGGCCUUUAAUAAAGGAGGUAUCUUUGUUGUUAUUCCCUAAAAGAUGGUUUUAAAACAAAUAGCUGCUGGCGUCUGGGUGCCUCUGAAGGUGACUUGGAAUGAUUAUGUUUGCUAAACUGGGCAUCCCUGGUACUAUGUGAACCAACCUUCAUUAUUCUUUAAUGAAUCUUUGCAGUUAUUUAUCCAAAAAUUUUGCAGGUCUGACUUGUGCUCACCUUGCUGUGGAAUGCUUUAAAGGAUGUUUCAUCCAAUAACAAAGAGAAGGAUAAAUUAUAAAUAGCAAAUCACACAGCAAUGACUUAGAUAGCGCUAGGGUAAGCGUGUAAACAAUAAAAUAAAAUUUCCCAGCUAACCACUGCAUAACUAAAGAGAGAUACACCAGCAUGCAUAUUAGUGUGCACAAUUGAGGUUUUAUUAACUUUGAAAUUAUAAAGCAAAAUACUGGAAAAUUUUAAUCAGUUCAAGAAGUUCGAUAUUCAUGAAAGAGAAUGUAGUAAUUUUAUUUUAAAUGUGGUCACAUUUACCUGGGGGUGACUCUGGUUUUGUCCUUCCUAGCUGUGUGACCUUCAGGGUACUUACUCUCUUUAGUCUUCUGUUUUCAUUAGCUAGAAAACUGGGAAUAUAGUCUUUGCCACCUUAAAAAGUUAUGUGAGGUCCACAAAGAAAACACUCGAGGGUUGAGAGUAUAGAUCAGGGUAGAGCAUGAAGACAUACGUUCAGUUCCCAGCACUGAACAAACACACCAACAAACCAGCACUUGUACUAAGAUUAGCAGAGUAGUCAGAGUGCGUGGUCAAUGAAACUUGUGCUAGUGUAUUUUACUGUAGUUUUCUCAUCCUAGGCCUUGAUGUGUCUGUGUCCAUAAAGCACUCAAUGAUCCUGCAGGGUGUUGACCUUUACUGUCUCUCUGACCUAAUUUCUGGCCAUUUUCUCUUUCUAUGUCAGCCCUGGCACCCUGACCUCCUACCUGGCUUCUCUGUAGAAACACAGGCAUCUCCCACCGCAGGGCACAUAAAGUGAGGUCCACCCCACAUCUCUCAUACACAUCUCCUGGCACUCCAGUCUUACUUCAGAAGUACCUUGUCAAUAAUAAUGUCCACAGACACCUCGAGCUGCUAUUACUGAUUCAUGUUGGUGUUUGCUAGUGAACUGGACUGCUGACACUGAAGACUGGAAUCAUCCCAAAGAACUCUUUCUGAAUUGUCCACAACCCCAUUUCCUUUUAGCCUUUCUUCUCUCCUGAGUCUGGGUGGUGGGCUAGAAGGGAAGUUGAAGCGUUGAAGAAUCAUAAUUAGCAUAGAUUUUGAAAAAUCUAAGCCCACACGGGAUGCUUCCUAGAUAAAUAUGAAUAUAAUUCCAGACUCCGAAUAUACUCAAGGGCAGAGUAUAAAUAGACACUGUUACCAUUGUAAUGCCCUCUCCCCUCUUUGAGGGUUUUGAGGAAUUCUAAACAAAGGCAUGUUUAGACAUAGGUGUCUACUGUGCUCCACGCAUUACACUAGCAACCUUAUGCAGUCCACAAACUUAUUCUAUACAAUGAUCCUGCAGGGUGCUAUUAUUAUCCCCUAUUAUUAUCUUUAGAUGAGGAACAGGAGAAACCAAAGCUCUGAGAGGAUGUGUUGUACUCAAGGCCACCAGCAUGGUGAAGGUAGAGUAAGGCACAGGGUAUUUAUCAAGGUGUGGUAGUUGGAAUAUAUGUGGCCCACGGCAAGUGGCACUAUUAGGAGGUGUGGCCUUGUUGGAGGAAGUGUGUCACUGUGGGAGCGGGCUUUGAGAGCCUCCUCCUGGCUGCCUGAGGAAGACAGUCUCCUUCUGGGUAUCUUCAGAUCAAGAUGUAGAACUCUCAGCUCUUUCUUCAGCACCAUGUCUGCAUGGAUGCUGCCAUUCUUCCCACCAUGAUUAUAAUGGACUGGACCUUUGAACCUGUAAGCCAGCCCCAAUUAAAUGCUGUCCUUAAUAAGAGUUGCUUUGGCCAUGGUGUCUCUUCACAGCAAUGAAAACCCUAACUAAGACACGAAUGACAAUUUUUCUCUUUUCUCUUAGUCCCUGGGAGCAGUUUCCCAAGCAUUUAAACAAUUUGUGUGCCUUGAGCAGACAACUUCUGGAUUAUAGAGUUAGUAUUUGCAAUGUAUUUCUGGAACCACCAACCUGGCUUACAGGUACUGGAAUCUCAGCAGCCUUUCUGCCUGAAAUACUAAGAGGAUGUGACAUCAGAUAUGGGCUAACAUCUGUGCCUUGACUACUGUAGCCCUGCCACAGCAAGUGGAUAGGACUGUUCCCUCCCUAGUGAACACAGGUCUUUGUAUUUUCCUUCUUUUUCAUUGCUGGGUAUCAAGCCCUGGGUUUUGCACCAGCUAGGCAAGCACUCUAUCUUUGGACUACACCCCCAGCCUUUGUUUCUUUUUUGAGACAAGGUCUUGUGACUGUACAUGUCAGGUUGGCCUUGAACUUGCUAUGUAGCCCAGGCUGGUGUGGAUAUCAACACCCACUCCUUCCUCUAUCUCCCAAGUGUGCACUACCAUGUCUAGUUUCUUUUAUCAUUGGUUAUUUAUUCAUUUUGUGAUUUGAUUUUAUGUAACUUCUUUGAUGACACACUGCUCUGAUUUUAUUAAAACACAUGUCUUUAUUUUACCCCUUGGACACGCAGCUUUCCUCCUUCCUGAUCUUGCCAAUGGUGUUACAAGCCCUACAUCUAAGCACCGGGCAGUGUUUGGGCAGCAAGAAGCCAUCUUUCCUAACUGUUUAAGGCUACAGAUGGGGAGACUGAACCAAAGAGGGAUGUGUGACUUAUCUAAAGAACUGGCUUGGAUCAGAACGACCUCAACCUCCCCGCCUUAGAACAGAGAUACUGCAUUGAAUUUGCCUCAAAGGGGAAAAGAGCCUGUGUUAAAAGCUGUGUAUACAACAGAGAGGACAGUAGUGAGUGUGGAUAAGGAAAAGUAGAAAUAUUUCAAUAAACAAAUAACGAUAUAUUUAAUGAGGUUAGACAACACCAGAAAUGGGGAAGGGGAGUUCACAGACACAAAACAAUAUAAGACUCGAUAGGCUCAAGGCUGAUGUAAAAGAUGAAUUUGAUUGGUUCAGGGAUUGAUUCAGAACAAGAAAGGGGAAAGUGGCUAAAAAUAAGAGGCAAAUAUGUAACUAUGGUUAAGGCACAUCUGCUUUCAAGUCCUGGCUCCCUCAUGCUUGUGUUACGACCUUUAAUUCAUUCAGUAAACAUUAGCAUGGUCUGGCACUUUGGCUGUAUCAGAGAAUAAAACAGAUAAAGAACUUGUUUCUCUGGUACAUACUUUGUAGCCACAUUCUAACUUCACUAAGGUUCUGUUUCUUUAUACAUCAAAUGGAUAACGAUAUUAUUCAUUAUAACGAUAUCAUUAUGCUCACAGUUUGAGUCUGGGUAAACAGGAUUAAAGUGAUACUAACAGAAACCAGGAAGUCAGCACUUGUGUUGGGACAAGGUUCAAUAGUGAGUGUGUCACAGUAUCAGCCUAUUGUCACCCCAAGGUUCUAACAGUAUUCUAACCUUCAAGUGACUGCAGAAAAUACAGUUCAAGAUGAAGGCAGAGAAGAGACUACUGAACAGACUGAACUCUGGCAAUAUGGAGGUCAUCUGGAUGGAGAGGAAGAGCGUGAGAGAGAGAGAGAGAAAGAGAGAGAGAGAGAGAGAGAGCACACAUUACAUAAGGGUCCAUGUCUAGUUAUUGAGGUUCUCAAGUGUGGUCUCUGACCCAGCACCAUCAAGACACAGAAGAACAAGAUAGACACACAGAGAGAAUAUGAAUUCUCAGGCUCCAAACAAAACCGAUUCACAGAAUCUCCAAGAAUGGGGAACAAUCUUUAUCUAGAUGCUUUUUUUUUGUUUUGUUUUUUGUUUUUUUUUGCCAUGAGCUAAGGCCAGUGAACUACUAAGACA